rnacentral:lncRNA from 13 species
ACAAGUCUUAUAAACAGAGUAAGCCAAUGUGAUGAUGAAAAUGCUCUCUCUCUCUCUCUCUCUCUCUCUCUCUCUCUCUCUCUCUCUCUUUCCCAGUGUGAAGGGUUGAAGGGGGAGCUUGCGGAACUUCAGGGGCUGUUUGACUGCAGCCAGAAGGAGAGGGCGGAGCUGGAGCAGGAACUGCAUCACUGCAGGGUGGAGCUAGAGAGGCUGGGCGGCAGGAAGUCACAGAACUGCACUCCUCCGUCUGAGCCCCCUGUUCUCUCCAUCUCCUUCAUAGGAAUGAUUGUAAUAAUGGCCCUGAUAUGGUGCUGGUGGGAGGAGCUGGCAUCCUAGAGGGGACCAGGAGAGCGAGGGAGGCUGGAACCUGGUGGCGGUGGUUGCCGUGGCAGCGCUUGUAGUCCUGAUAGUCCCCAGCCUUUCCAGAGCGUUUACCUGAGGACUACACAGAACGGAAGUCACUGUACAGGAAAUGACUGUGCUGGUUUCCCCUGGCAACAUGGGCAAUGCCAUGCCCCUAUCUCAUGAUGCCCUUGUCAAGUCUCCUCCUCGCUUCAUCUUCCAAGGAGGACUGCAUUGACAACUGACAUUUUCACCAGGAAAUACAACACAACAAGGAAGUAGUCUCAAGGAGAAAUACAUAUACCUGUUUAAGCCACUCUAAAGAUAAGGAUGGCAAUAUCUUGUUUCUCUCUUUAAAGUCCUUCAGUUUGACUCAAUCGGUUUCCCUAUAACAGGGACUGCCUCCGAGUUUGUGGCAGUACGGUGUCUGCAUGGGCGUCAAUGGAAAUACACAAUUUAGCACAGAACAUGUCUGCGCAUUUAUUGAUUGAUCGGUUGAUGGUUUAUUCUUUGAUUGGUUGAUGGUUGAUUGAUUUAUUGACAACCUGUAAAGGUUGAAUUGGGAAAAGCUCAUGCACAUAUUGAGCCACUGAUGAGAUGCUUCUCUUUCCAAAGGGCAUGUGAUCUUUUCCCAGAACCUACCCCUCCUUUUGAAUCACUUUCAACAUUGCCACUGCAAUUGUCUCUGCUACACUUGUAACACUUAUCCUUCUGUUUAUGUUGUGGCAUGCUCUUUUUACGUUUAAAUGAAGAUGUGUGGAGGAGGGUUUGAUUAUAUGAGUUUGUUGUAUUGGAUGUUUGUCUCCUUUGUAAAUGGUUCUUUCUCUCUCUCGUCUGCAUGACUCUCUGUCUCUCUGUCUCUCUCUCUCUCUCUCUCUCUCUCUCUCUCUCUCUCUCUCUCUCUCUCUCUCUCUCUCUCUCUCUCUCUCUCUCUCUCUCUCCUUACAAU